GCAGGAUACCUAUACGAGAUAGACACGAGUACCUAGGUACUCCAUUUUGUUAUGAAAAAAUUGUCUGUGGUUAUUCUAAAUUUAUUUAUAGUCAUUUAAUUAAAAAGUUUAAAAUAUGGAGAUGAAGUUAUUCUGCGCAAUCACCCUAUACGUCCUAUUGGCGUUGUUACCACGAACUCAUGCAAUUUUCUGCACGGACGGCAACUCGUGUUUCUGCAACUACAGCUAUGCACCAGUCUGUGCAACCAAUGGGUGCAGCUACCUUAAUACUUGCAGAUUAAUUUGCGCUGAGGCAAGUUUUUCUAGAAUAGGACCAUGUCCAGAAACGUAAAUUAAGGAAAGCAAU